AUGUCAGAUUUUUCUGUGGAUCAGAGAUUUUGGUAUUCGUUCAGCUCAGCCAGCAGGUGAAGAGAAGCUUAACAGCAGCACAUGAAGCUAGUGGUCACUGCAGUAAUCCCCUGAGCAAAGAGCGCAUGAAGCUGGAAAGCUCUGAAAGGGAAGUCAGAAUGACCCUAACAGAAAACUUUUCCUGAAGGAAACCACAUCUGUUCAAGCUGGCAUGCAGGACUGUUCUCAGGAGGAGCAAGAUGCAAAGUUCAAGGGAACUGAAUGUGAAGAUACAACAUGACUUCACUGGCGGUUAUAUAAUGAGGCUCAGAGUGAGGAAGCUCUUUGUUCUAUUUACAAAUCCCCGUAUUACUGACAAGGAAACUUCAGAGGCCGGUUUCCAAAGAAAACAAUGAGGAAAGAAAGUGGAUGUGGGCCUGAAAAAUACAGGUGAUUUCAGACUGUCAUCUUUCCUGAAUUUUGGGGGCGUCUCUACAAGUCCUGCAUAGAACAGAAAUUUGCAAGUGUGUUGUUUCGUAUUUACAAGAGGAUAACACGCUGGAGCAGAGAACGCAUGCGCGCUUCAGAUUUAUAAGGACUCCUGGAGACUGAGGGAGGUGAACUGACUGGUUUAAAAUCAUACAACACAGUAAAAGUAGGAACAGAGGCCAGGUUUCCAGGCUUCUAGUUAUGCACUUUAACCACUAAAAAACUUCAUUUCCUUGAAUUAAUAUUGGCCCAAGCUGACUUUUGCAUUACUGCCUCCUGAGUGGCCUGUGCAAUGGAAGACAUUUGCAGUCUUUUGCACAUUACCAGUAUUUUUUUUUCCCCAGGCAAAAAGCAGAUUUUUGCAGCCAGUCUCCACACCUUACAUUUUCUAAUUCAUUUCCAAAUGUAU